rnacentral:rRNA from 1 species
CGGGGGACAAUGGAUACAGGUGGUGCAUGGUUGUCGUCAGCUCGUGCCGUGAGGUGUUGGGUUAAGUCCCGCAACGAGCGCAACCCCUAUUGAUAGUUGCUAAUAUUAAGUUAAGGACUCUAUUGAGACUGCCAGCGACAAGCUGGAGGAAGGUGGGGAUGACGUCAAAUCAUCAUGCCCUUUAUGACCUGGGCUACAAACGUACUACAAUGGCCAGAUACAAAGAGAUGCGAAGCCGCGAGGUGGAGCGAACCUCAGAAAAAUGGUCUCAGUUCGGAUUGGAGUCUGCAACUCGACUCCAUGAAGUUGGAAUCGCUAGUAAUCGCGAGUCAGCAGAUCGCCGGUGAAUACGUUACCGGUUUUA